AGAGCGCAGGGUGGAUGCCUUGGCACUAAGAGCCGAUGAAAGACGUGAUAAGCUGCGAAAAGCUUCGGGGAGGAGCAAAUAUCCAUUGAUCCGGAGAUAUCUGAAUGGGGAAACCUACUUGAGAAAACCUCAAGUAUCCACAGCCCAAUCCAUAAGCUGUGGAAGGGAACCCGGUGAACUGAAACAUCUAAGUAGCCGGAGGAAGAGAAAACAACAUGUGAUUCCGUAAGUAGCGGCGAGCGAACGCGGAAGAGCCCAAACCGGAGUGCGUGCACUCCGGGGUUCGGACUGCAGGAUUGACGAGUGAGCCUAGUAGAAUGGUUUUGGGAAAGCCAGCCAGAGAGGGUGAAAGCCCCGUACACGAAAGGCAAGCGAGCAUGGCAGGAUCCAGAGUACCACGAGACACGUGAAACCUUGUGGGAAUGAGCGGGGACCACCCCGUAAGGCUAAAUACUCCUUAGUGACCGAUAGCGCAUAGUACUGUGAAGGAAAGGUGAAAAGGACCCCGGGAGGGGAGUGAAAGAGAACCUGAAACCCUGUGUUUACAAGCUGUGGAAGCACGUUAAGGUGCAACCGCGUACUUUUUGUAGAACGGUCCGGCGAGUUGCGGAUGCUGGCGAGGUUAAGGAGUAAAGCUCCGGAGCCGAAGCGAGAGCGAGUCUUAAUAGGGCGUAAAGUCAGCAUGUGCAGACCCGAAACCGGGUGACCUAUCCAUGUCCAGGUUGAAGUUCCCGUAAAAGGGAAUGGAGGACCGAACGCACAUCCGUUGAAAAGGGUGGCGAUGAGGUGUGGAUAGGGGAGAAAUUCCAAUCGAACCCGGAGAUAGCUGGUUCUCCUCGAAAUAGCUUUAGGGCUAGCCUCGUAUUAGUCUGGUGGAGGUAGAGCACUGAAUUUCCUAGGGGGCGUCAAAGCCUACCGAAGAAUAUCAAACUCCGAAUGCCGCAUAAAUGAUGUACGGGAGUCAGACUGCACGAGAUAAGUUGGGUAGUCAAAAGGGAAAGAGCCCAGACCUACAGCUAAGGUCCCAAAGUGCGUGUUAAGUGGAAAAGGAUGUGGGAUUUCGAAGACAACUAGGAUGUUGGCUCAGAAGCAGCCACACAUUCAAAGAGUGCGUAAUAGCUCACUAGUCGAGAGGUCCUGCGCCGAAAAUGUCCGGGGCUGAAACACAACACCGAAGCUUAGGAAUGUAGUGAUACAUUGGUAGAGGAGCAUUCUUAAAGGGAAGAAGCAGUACCGACAAGGAGCUGUGGACUUUUAAGAAGAGAGAAUGCCGGAAUGAGUAGCGAGAUGGAGGUGGGAAUCCUCCAGGCCGAAUAUCUAAGGUUUCCAGAGUAAAGCUGAUCUGCUCUGGGUAAGUCGGGGCCUAAGGCGAGGUCGAAAGACGUAGUCGAUGGAUAACAGGUUGAAAUUCCUGUACUGCAUAUCAUCAGAACUGUGGGGACACAGAGAGAUACCGGAACCUGGGAAUGAAGAUACCAGGGCAAGCGAGGUAGGUGCUAAGCUGGAAAAACCGCUUAGUAAGCCGAAGACGUGAUGCGGAGCGAAUUAAAGUAGCGAAGUCCGGGAUUCGAGCUGUCGAGAAAAGCCGCUAUUGUGUGAUAUGUACCCGUACCGUAAACCGACACAGGUGGAUGAGGAGAGAAUCCUAAGGCCGGCGGGAGAAGCAUUGUUAAGGAACUCGGCAAAAUGACCCUGUAACUUCGGGAUAAAGGGUGCCACAGAGAUGUGGCCGCAGAGAAUAGGCUCAAGCAACUGUUUAGCAAAAACACAGGUCUAUGCGAAACCGAAAGGUGAGGUAUAUGGGCUGACGCCUGCCCGGUGCUGGAAGGUUAAGAGGAGAGGUUAGCGCAAGCGAAGCUUUGAAUUUAAGCCCCAGUAAACGGCGGCCGUAACUAUAACGGUCCUAAGGUAGCGAAAUUCCUUGUCGGGUAAGUUCCGACCCGCACGAAAGGCGUAAUGAUUUGAGCGCUGUCUCGACAAUGCAUCCGGUGAAAUUGAAGUACCAGUGAAGAUGCUGGUUACCUGCGCCAGGACGGAAAGACCCCAUGGAGCUUUACUCCAGCUUGAUACUGGGAUUCGGUAUUGCAUGUACAGGAUAGGUGGGAGACAAGGAAAUGGUGACGCCAGUUGCCAUGGAGUCAAUGUUGGGAUACCACCCUUGCAGUAUUGGAUUUCUAACCAGCAGCCGUGAACCGGCUGGGGGACAAUGUCAGGUGGGGAGUUUGACUGGGGCGGUCGCCUCCGAAAGGGUAUCGGAGGCGCUCAAAGGUUCCCUCAGAAUGGUCGGAAACCAUUCGAAGAGUGCAAAGGCAGAAGGGAGCUUGACUGCGACACCGACGGGUGGAGCAGGUACGAAAGUAGGACUUAGUGAUCCGGUGGUAUAAAGUGGGAUUGCCAUCGCUCAACGGAUAAAAGCUACCCUGGGGAUAACAGGCUUAUCACUCCCAAGAGUUCACAUCGACGGAGUGGUUUGGCACCUCGAUGUCGGCUCAUCGCAUCCUGGGGCUGAAGUAGGUCCCAAGGGUUGGGCUGUUCGCCCAUUAAAGCGGUACGCGAGCUGGGUUCAGAACGUCGUGAGACAGUUCGGUCCCUAU
rnacentral:rRNA from 1 species